CCUAACUCAACUCAUAACGCACUGGCAUCAAGUUUCCAGCAGAUUUUCCAUCCAGGCAGUUGAUAGUUUGGUCUCUGGGCCACACAGGAGGUUUCGGUCUGUGAGUUGGGUAGCUGCACCAUGUAGAAUGACUUGGCAAUGGAUUGCUGAAGGCCAAGUGGUGCCAAGGGGACAUUACUCAGCUUUGCACUCAAACAUCGGUUCUCCUAUUCUAACAUGUGCCAAAUCUAUUAUUGCUACCUAAAGAUCCUAUUUUACCUAAUCAUUUUUUUUUCUCUAUUUCCUCCUAUUUUUGAUGAAUGAUAAAUGAUAUUUAUUUUUGCAAUUUGGUUAUAAGAUACAUAAUACUUUUACACUUUAAUCUUUGAAAUAACUAGACGAGGCAUUUUCUAUCGGACUACUCUGAGAAGAAAUGCCGAAAAAAGUCCAGACAAUCAAAUAUAGGAUAAUGUGAGAAAACUGUGCAAGUUGAUUCUGUAGUGGUCUUUAGAGGAAAGAACCACAACAGUAUGAGCGGACCUGUUCAGAUGGCAGUACGCAUAUGUCAGUUUACAAUCAGCUCAGCUACGGCUGUUGCUGAAUGAUCCGACGAACAAUACCAACCAAAAGAACAUUUGGGUAGGCCACACAAAUGCUCACACUGUCAGAAUAUAAUUAACUAAAAGUGAAAUGACUAAACAAACUCUCGCACGGUCCUCAAACUAACAAUUUUGAAAAUAAUAUGUAAAGAUAGUAAAAUGUCGAAUGAUAUUAAUGUCUAGUAUAUCAAAUUGUAUAAAAAUGUAACUAGCUUGACUAUCAUCAAAGUAGUAUUUUAUUUUACAAAAAGUUUUACAGUUUUUCUUUAAUAACAUUUAUUAAAUUGGCUCAAACUUUAAAUAUGGCUGGGAAUUUUAUUGUAAAAGCGUAUGCAUUGACAUCUGAACGAACCACUUAUUUAUAGGAACAACAUAUUUGUUUUUACUUUUAAUCUUCAUAUUAUGUAUCAGCGACAAAACUAGGUAUUAUGAGGCCCGAUAAGUCGUUUUUUCGCGUUCAUAUCUUGUUAAAUUACGUACAAUGGUGAUAAAUCGUAGUGCACAAGCAUUGAUAACUGCCACUCAAGAAUAUAAGCCUCACCAAUGUUUGAUAUCACAAUCGCGUUGUGCUAGUACAACGUCGCUGCCGUGUCGGUGUUUUCCAAGUUCGUAGUGAAUUUUGUGCGAUUCUAGUAUUGCGCCAUAUAUUGCGCCAUAAUUUCAUCAUCUUUUCGUUAUGUAAGUAAGUAUUUUUUCAAAAACUUUGAAAUUUGUUAAAAGUGUAUAGUUAAUUAGUGUUGCGGUUUAAAAUAUAAUGGGUUUUAUAACAAAAUUAUUGUGUUUUUGAAGUGUUAAGGCAGUGUAAACGGUCUACCUAGGUACCAUAUGGUAGGCAAGACAUGAUGGUUUUUCAAACAUUUUUAGUGAUAUUCCUAUCGUUAUUUUGAAAGAAAUUUGUUUAUUAGUGUUUUGUAGUUACAUUUGAACGCAUUUAUAUAAUUUUCAUGCGAAAUACUAAAAUAUUUUAAACACGUGGUCUGACCGUGAUAGACUCAUUGACGGUACAUUCGUUUCUCAUCUAUAGUUUUGUCAGUUCAACUUGAAACUUAACAUAUUAUAUACUUAAAUUUUCGUUAGCUAUUUCUCUAUACAUUGUUGAAAGCCGCAUGGAUAUCGGUUUAGCAGUUUUCGAGUUAUGACGGUAAAAGUGACGUGAAAGAACGAUGCAGAAAAUGUAGGUAACGUUUUGAGAAGAAUUCUUUAGCAAACGCCAUGAUUACGGAUGAACUGAAACUCAUAGACAUAAAGUACAUAGGUUAGUUAGUUCAGAUAUAUUGUAAAUACAAAGUUUAGUAUAGGCCUUCAGUGUAUCCUACAUUGUAGGUACAGGCGUUGUUAAUGAAAGGGGUUGCCUAUAUACUUUUUGUCAUGAGUAAACAUGGUAAAUAUCCCGUCUUAAGUUCUAAUGUUUAUGUCUGAUAUUUCAUAACCUAUAAACCUAGUAAUUUUAAACAAAUUCUUAAGUACCUAUCGCCUGAAUUCAUGUGGAAUUUUCUUGAAUACUGUCAUCUACCUGUGGUGUGAUUUGAGGUACCGGCUUUAUAACAUUUGGACUCAACAAUAUAUUAAAAUCGUCAAUACAAUAAGAAGGACCUUCAGAAACUGUUGUUUGAGCACGUGGUUGCUCAAUUUCCUUGAUUUCUUCUUCCAUUUUCACUUAUUUAAACACAGACACACUUUAUUAAUUUAUUUUUUUAAUCGAUCGACCUGUCUCCUCAAGGAAUUGAUCGCAAGUGCCUUUAUCUUGACCUUGGCGAUACGCGGUAGCAUUCUGUUGUUUUAUGUUAAGUUCAUAGAAAGCAAAGUUGGACGACGUUUGACGUUUCGAAAAACUAUUCAAUUUGACUUUUGAUUGACUUUUGAUUUUGAUUUUGGCGAAAAAUGGUUUUAUAAUUAAUUUUAUAAUUAAAUUUAAUUAAUUUAAAAUGGUUUUUUUUUUUAUAGGAACCAUAACGUCUUUUUUAAUGUCCUAUCCAUAGACAACCACUACGCAUAAGUUAGCUGAAAAAAAAAAAUUUGAUGUGAUGCAGUGACCGUGCGUUCUCCGCCCUCUAUCUCGAAAACGGUUCACCGUAUAAAAAAAAAGUUUAAACAAAAGUUGUAGAGAAUUUUGCAUUCUACAAUAUUGAUAUUAAAUGCAAAUAUCAAAAACCAAUAGGAAAUGAGAUAUUUCCAAAAAACCGCAAAAAACCGAUUUUUCGGACCUUUGACCUUAAAAUUUAAGAGUUGCUUACACCCUACCAUAUGUAGGUUUUGAGACAAGUUUUAGGGGGUCAAUAUACAAGUAUAUUAUACAAACUUACAGCUGGGUAUCUCGCAUUCCGAGAUUAUUACCUAAUUUAAGCUUAUUUGACUGGACUAAGAGUACUUAGUCCGAUAGGAAAUGCCGGCCUCAUCUAGUUAUUUAAGAGAUUGACGUGUAAAAGGGUUACAUUGUAACCUAUUUGCAAAAAUAAAUAAUAUCAUUUAUCAUUUAGACUUAGUAAGUACUUUUUAUUCAGUGUUAACGGAACUUACUUAUCUAUGUAUAAGGUCUUAUGUCCGAAUUAUCAAAUUCCGAAAUAUGUAAUAUCAUUAACUAUCUUUUUUUUUUAAUCUAGGUCAUUAAACGAGCAGACUUGAUGAUAAGCAAUCACCACAGGUGCGUAUGACGUGAUGAUAUCUACGCGUGACGUCACAGGAGAUGUGUCCAUGAGCCGAGAUGGAAACCAGGGGCCUUAGUCUGCUAUUACAAUUGUGACAGAAUGGUCGAUCACUGAGCAGUGCGAGAGGGACGGAGCUAUACAACCUACAUAGCUCCGUCCCUCUCGCACUGCUCAGUGAUCGACCAUUCUGACACAAUUGUAAUAGCAGAAUAAGGCCCCAGUACCUCUACCAUGAGUUUGAAGCAAUAGUAUUUGUCGAUAAUCCAGGGUCCGUUAUGGUGCUCCCACACAGCAGUUACAUAACGUUAUACAACAUUGUGUAACAUUUAUAACAGCAUGUAACAUACUCUACAACCAUUGUUAUAAAUUGUUUAAACACAAAUGUUAUUGUUACACAUUGUUGUAUAACGUUAUAUAACCGCUGUGUGGGAGCACCAUUAGGGCUGAUGCCUGAUCCGGAGCUGCGGACUACCUAGCCGGUUUACCGGGGCUCCGGCUCGAAAAGCAGGAGUAGGAACGGGGUGGUUUUUAGUCAGUAAGAGUCUGAUACUCCCUCUCGUCUGAUUGAUUGAUUUUUCAGUAGAUGGAAAGAAAAUGCCGUAGAUGAAAACGGGCUAAGGAUUAUCGCACAUACCGAUCGAUCGACGAAAAUGUUAGAAAUCCUAUCCUAUCCUCCAUAGCCUCCAUUUGACUGCACGGUUGGUAGCGGGUUCGAUUCCCGCACGUAGCAACUCCGUGUCAUGUGCAUGUGAAAUGUAUGUUUGUAAACGCACCCACGACACAGGAGAAAAUCCAAGAGUGGGGCAACGUUUUUAUAGGAAAAAUAGCGUCGAAUUUUCACAAUAAACUCAAAAUAGCAAUUUCAAUUUUGAAAACGUUGUACAGCAACGCCAUUUAUCAACGAAUGCACGGUUAGUGCGGUGGCUGGGCAAUUGGCUGCCGCGCUACGGUAACGGGUUCGAUUCCCGCACGGAGCAACUCUUUGUGUGAUCAACAAAUUGUUGUUUCAAGUCUGGGUGUCAUGUGUAUGUGAACUUGUAUGUUUGUAAACGCACCCACUACACAGGAGAAAAUCCUAGUGUGGGGCAAAGUUAAAAAAAAAAUCUUAUUCAGACAAUGUAACUAUUUUCGUACAAAACAAAGUCGCUUUCUCUGUCCCUACGUCCCUUUGUAUGCUUAAAUCUUUAAACCUACGCAACGGAUUUUGAUGCGGUUUUUUUAAUAGAUAGAGUGAUUCAAGAGGAAGGUUUAUAUGUAUAAUACAGGCAUAAUAUAUCACCAUUGCACCCAUGCAAAGCUGGGGCGGGUCGCUAGUAUAUUAUAAAUCCCACCCAAAACAUAAAUGUGAAAGGCUGCCAAGUUCGAUAAUAUUGGAAUGCUUCACCUAUAAAAGAAGUGAGAUCUAAAUAAGUACCAAGUUCCAUACACAGACCUCAGUUAAAAAUGAUAUAACAAGUUGGCAAGUUUUCACACGCUUUGUUAUAAACCUACUAAACGCAAUGAGUCAAGUAUAUAAUUUUCUAUUAAAACUUGCCAAGUUAUAUCAUUUUUAACUGAGGUCUGUGUAUGGAACUUGGUACUUAUUUAGAUCUCACUUCUUUUAUAGGUGAAGCAUUCCAAUAUUAUCGAACUUGGCAGCCUUUCACAUUUAUGUUUUGGGUGGGAUUUCAUUUAUUUUUGAAGGUUUAUUUUAUUUUUUUCUUAUUUUACUUUACUUUGACUAAAUACAAACCUUCGUAACGAAUUUGAGGUCGGUACGACCAUUGGAAGAUAUAGAUAAUUUUUUUGUUUUAGUUCCUUAGGGGUAUGAAUUUACACCUUCAUUAUUUUUAAAACCGACUCACACUUGGCCAUUUUCAGAUUUUUUCCUUUACCUUGACCUAAAGACCUACCUCCAUGCCAAAUUUCAAGUCAAUACGACCAUUGGAAGUGGUCUAGGUUUUUGAUGAGUGAGUGAGUGAGUGAGUCAGUCAGUCAGUCAGUGAGUGUAUAGUAAAAAUAGCGAUUUUCUGACGUCAAUAUCUCAAGACCUACAAUAGGUACAUUAAUGAAAUUUUGUAUUUUAGAUAAGUAAGUAGAUCUCGACAGAUACUAGAAAUUUCAUAUGCGUAGAUAAAAUAGAUUUUGAGUUAUAGGUGGGUCGAACUUGGCCCGAAAUGGUUCGUGUAAUAUAACCCACGGCGGGUGUGUCGGUUUUUUUGCUCGAACUUGGCGGACACACUGCCGUGUGUCUAGAUACGAAUGCUUGUGAGUAUGUGUGUUUAUGUGUAUAUUUGUUACUCAAUAACGUCAAACUGGCUGAAGAGAUCGAGAUGAAAUUUGGAAUAAGAGUAGAUUACAUACAUACAUAACCUCACGCCUGUCUCCCAUGGGGGUAGGCAGAGACAAUGGAACGCCAAUUGCCACGGUUCUUACACACUUCUUUCGCUUCAUUCAUCAACAGUCAUCAGUCUUUUCAUGCAUAAUGGUUAGGAAUAACACAUAGGAUACUUUUUGUUCCACAGGACCACGGACGAAGCCGCUGGCAGAUACUAGUAUAUAUUACAUUAUAUGUGAUUGUAAUUAUUAGUUAUAUAAUACCUGUUUGUUUACCAAAUAAAAAUAAAAUAAAUGAAUAAAUUCUAAA